rnacentral:misc_RNA from 1 species
AACUGGACUAUCUAUACUAACAAGGUCUGCUUUCUAAUAUUUGGUUUCCCUUGCAUACAUUUAAAACUUUUGUAUACACACAUUAUGUUUUACUAUUUUUUGAUAAGAUGUCAUAGAUGCUUGAACUGGGAGACAAGCAAACAAGAUAAACAGUGCGUGAUGAUAUUUAUUUUUCCUUCUUAAAUAUGUAUAUGGCCCAUAACUUUGUCAUGCUCUAUGCUUUAGGUUUUCAUCUCUGAUUAAUUGUUUCAUAUGGUACUAAAUACCGGUAAACUAAGACCCCCAGGUCAAGACUAUUUUCUGAAAUUGAUAAGUAGUGUAGUUCAGUUGGGCUUCAGUUGUUGGAAGCUGGAGCUAGGUUUCAGAAGUAGUCACUUACAUUAGCAUAAAGAUUUUGUUAUAGCUGUGAGCCAAUGAAUGAUAAAAUAAUUGGUGAGGCAUUAAAAAUGAUGUAUAAUCUCUCUUUUUCUUGCCUCUUGUAGAUUGCAGCUCUAUUUACUCUUG